GCUGGUGUGGAGAGGCAGGGGCCGCCCAUGGAGGCUGUUUGGGACGUCACAGGGCUUGCACACACUUGUCCCACGGGCUCCUGGCUGUGAAGUUUGGAAUCCAAGUUUGGGCCCCAUUUGUUUUUGGCAAAGAGACGACGGUCCUGUUAAUAGUUUCCACUUGAAGACAUCGCCUCUCGUCCUUCCAAGCUGGGAGCACGCAAGCCCACAGUGGGAGGGUGGGGCAGCCGGAACUCACAACCCACCACCGCCGGGUUGCGGCGUCCACUGAGGCGCUGUCCUCCUGGAGAAAAGAAUGGAGACAUGGUGGGGACUGUCCUGUCUCGUCUUCCUGUGUUUUCUGCUGCAUGUGCAAGGUCAGCGAGAAUUUGACCUGGCCGACGCCCUUGAUGACCCUGAACCCACCAAGAAGCCAACCUCAGAUAUCUACCCCAAACCACCUUACCAUCCACAGCCCGGACAUCCAGACAGCGGUGGAAAUAUCUACCCAAAGCCAAAACCACCUUACCACCCACAGCCGGGACAUCCAGACAGCGGUGGAAAUAUCUACCCCAAGCCAAAGCCACCCCUUUACCCGCAGCCUGGGGAUUCCGGCCACCACGGUGGAGGUUACCUGAAUGAUGUGGACCGUGAUGACGGACGCUACCCACCCAGGCCCCGGCCCAGGCCACCUGCAGGAGGAGGUGGUGGCGGAGGUGGCGGAGGUUACCCCAGUUACGACAGCUCCGGCAGCACGUAUGGAAGAGGGGGCGUCUCUCGACCCAACCCUCCUUACAGAAAAACUUAUGGUGGAGACGACCAUUCAACUUACGGCAACCCACAAGGUAACACGGUAGCAAAAAUUGUAUCCCCUAUCGUGUCUGUGGUGGUGGUGACCUUGGUGGGGGCAGCGGCCACCUAUUUAAACAAGAGGAGAAAUUGCUUCCGGAAUAGUGAGCCAGUGAAUGUCUGAAGACAUCCGGAUGCUUUGAUCACUUUGAGAAAAACUGAAUCAAGACAAGUACCCUGUGUAUUCUUGGUAUCAUCUGAUGACUUGGCAUCAUCUGCAUGUUCUGUUCUGUGUUUACCAUGGCUGCGGCCUCCGAAGGAACCCCCAGUUUGUUGCAUGUGGUGUGGUGAAUAGAUUGCUUCAUCUAUCAUUUCUGUCACACCUGCGCACCAAGAAGGUCCAGCUUUCUGUUCUGAGAGCUUCAACUACCUCACGGUGCAAAGAACACACUCAUGUGUGUUGCAAAGCACGAUUGCAACAGGUGGGAGAAGGGGUGUUAUCAAAUUCUGGGAGAUGACGAUUUUUGAGAUUUUGCAGAAGGUGUGGUCAGAAGCUUGCCCUGUGCUACAUUUCUCAGAGAUGUCAAAAAUUAUGAAGCGUAGAAGUCAAAAGCUACUGCGUGAUGACCACUGCAAAUGAAGUGGGAAUGAAUUAUUCCCAAUGCUCACAGUAGGGUCUCAUUGUCUAUUCAACUUUGGUGUGUCUGCACAAAAAAUUAUUAUUACCCACAAAAAAUAAGCCCGGAUUUUAAAACUUUUAGUGCAAAAUUAUGAAUGUUAAAACCAUCCAGGGGAAAUCAGUCUCGGGCUACUUUCUCCUAGGAAAUCUUGUAUUUUUGAUAUGUUUUGGAGAAUAGGAGACAGAAAUGGUGAUUUUUCAGAUGUUGAGACCUGUCACAGUAAUUUUAGUCUUUGAUACUCUUUAGGCACCGGUUCUUACGGCAACGGCUUUUCUUUACUGAAUGUAUGCUUUUUCUACUCACCAAAGAAAAUCUUAAAUCCUUAGACAUCUAAAAAAGUAUACUAGCUAUUUGCUUGUGUUUUAGAAAUACUUCUGGGGAGAGGAAAAAGGAUGCUUUGGGCAUAUUGGUAUAAGUUGAUUAAACUAAGGUUAAUGUUUAUAUAACUUUUAGACUUUGGCUUAAAUAUCUGAACCAAAGAUGACAUUCAUCACAAUCUGGAUCCGAUAUAAAGAACCCAUAAAAAUCCUAAAUAUGCACACUUUGUGCUCACCUUUAUAAACUGGGGUCUCUAAAGAGGGAAAAUGAAAUUAGAAAACAUUUGAAAGAGUAACACAUUUUUAAAAAAAUAACUUAAAACUAAUAUUCCAGAUUUAGAUAUGUGAGAAUUGCAUGUCUCAUCUCAUGGAUUUUCCUAUACUAUGUAGGUUAAUUUGGAGACUGCAUUUUCUAGUUGAAUGUUUGUCCUAUCACACUUUCCAAUUCUUGUAAGAGGUUUGCUAGGAGUGGUGAUUCCUAAUGCCCAGCUACCAUUUUUUAUAUAGGCAGUUCAGUCUGAGCUUAAUUAAGUUCUUGUUAAAAAGCAUGUGUAUUUGUAUAUACAGACACACACUCAUACACAUAUACAUAUUCAUGCAUACCUACAUAGACUCUAAUCAUUUUUUUAAUUGUUUAACCCAGCCCAAUUUCUGAAACUUUCCAUCAUUUAAAAUAAAUAUAAAACAGAAAAGUGGUUUUGAUUGUUGUAGCAUCCAUCCAAUAUUUCAGGUACUAAAUAUAAAAUUUUAUGAAUGGCUCCGCGCCUGUGGCUCAAGCGGCGAAGGCACCAGCCACAUACACCUGAGCUGGCAGAUUCAAAUCCAGCCUGGGCUUGCCAAACAACGACAGCUGCAACCAAAAAAUAGCUGGGCAUUAUAGCGGGUGCCUGUAGUCCCAGCUACUUUGGUAGUGGAGGCAGGAGAAUCGCUUGAGCCCAGGAGUUGGAGGUUAUUGCGAGCUAUGAAGCCACGGCACUCUACCCAGGGCGACAGCUUGAGGCUCUGUCUCAAAAAUAAAUAAAUAAAUAAAAUAGAAUUUUAUGAAAUGGUGGUAGUAAGUGGCCCCCAAAUCAUGAAGCUAUGUAGGUUUGUGUAUUAUCCAAUAAAUCCCUUUCUACACUCAAGAUGGCUAACGAACGUGGAAAACAGAUAUAGUUACAAGAUUAUGAGAUAAACUCACCCGGAUGACAGGAGGCAAGGAAAUUUAAUAUUCAACCUGCUUAAAAUAAAAAUAUUUGAAAUAGGGCAGCACCUGUGGCUCAGUGGGCAGGGUGCCGGCCCCAUAUACCGAGGGCGGCGGGUUCAAACCUGGCCUCAAUGGAACUGCAACAACAACAAAAAAUAUAUAUUUGAAAUAAUCAUCUCUUGGGGAACCUCUCUUUAGGCGGUCACCUCCAAGGCAUUCUGAUGCUGAUGAGAAAAAUAGUGAUAAAAUGCAAAAUCUUCAUGCAUUUGAAUGAAGGAAAUGCUACCCUAUUUCCCCAAAAAUAAGACAGUGUCUUAUUUUAAGGUGUGCUCCCAAAGAUGCACUAGAUCUUAUUUUCAGGGGACAUCUUAUCUUUCCUGUAAGUAGGUUUUAUUUUCGGGAAAACGGGGUAGCUUUGAAUGUGUAGUUACCUUUGAACAACGUGGAUGUGAAUUAAGUAGGUCCACUUAUACAAGGAUUUUCUUCUACGUUGCCACACCUGAGGCAGCAAGACCCACCCAUCUACUUCUUUCUCUCCCUUAGCCUAAUCAGCAUGAAGAUGAUGACCUUUAUGAACAUCCACUUCCACUUAAUGAAUAGUACAUAUAUUUUCUCUUCCUUAUGAGGUUUUUAAUAACAUUUUCUUCUCUCUAGCUUACUAUAUUGUGAGAAUUUAGUACCUAUUCUUACAUAGAUAACACAUACAAAACAUGUGUUAAUCAUUAGUUUAUGUUAUCAGUAAGGCUUCCACUCAACAGUAAGCUAUGAAUAGUUAAGAUUGGGGUAGGGGGAGGAGUCAAAACCUGUGGAUUUUGACCAGGGUUGGGGGAGAUGAGUGUUCCUAAACCCCACGUUGAUCAUGGUGGAUCAACUAACUACACAAAGUUCACACUCAGCUCCUCUUUGUGGGAACUUGAAUACACCUUGUGGUCAAUGGAUGGACAUCUUCAUGUUGGAAUGGGGAAAAUCCAUGACUGUAAUUUCAGAACUGUGAGGGAGGAGAUGCCAACUGUGGGGGCUAUAUUUUCAUUUCUGCUUUCCUGCAUGGGCAUAAAAAGAACAACUUUAUUUAUUGCCCAAGCAUAAGCCACUGUGUUCAAGAUAUCUCGGUUGUUGGAGAUGGUUAGCCUGCUUCACCUUUGACACCUGAAACUGGAAGAUUGAAUUACACACACACACACACACACACACACUAUUAAUAUGUUGUAUACUGCUGUGAGUUGAAUUACAUCCCUUCAAAUCCAUUACGUUGAAGUCUUAACAUCCAGUACUUCAGAAUGUGACCUUAUAUGGAAAUGGGUCAUUGCAGUUGUAAUUACACUCAGGUCACACUGGAGUCAAGUGGGCCCCUAAUCUAAUAUGCCUGGGGUCCUUAUAAGAAGCGGGUAUUUGAAUACAGAUGGGGUCACGAGGAGAAUGUCAUGGGAUUAUUGGAAUGCUACUUCCACAAGCCAAGGGACUGACUAGCCAAAGAAAAAGAGAACGUUUAGACAGACCCUUCCCUAAGCCUUCAGAGGGAGCAGGUCACUGCCCCCACCUGGGUUUUGGACCUGCACUCCCCAGAACUGUGAAACAAUAAAUAGAUUUCUGUUGUUUAGCCAACGAGUUUGUGGUACUUUGCCACAGAAACCCCAGGAAACUAAUAUUAAUAUACACAUUAAUACAUGCUGGGUACAUGUUUUUUCCUAAUUUGAAAGAAGUAGUGGGGGACUUUGUUUAGCUUUCUCUUAGAGGUAGUAGGCAAGAUCAGUCAUAAUUACACUCUGGACUCUAAUGCCCAAUUCCUGCUUCUCUAUUUUAAGCUGUAGAACCUCAGAUAUUUUACACAUGCUCUCCAGGCCAUGAUUAUGUCAUUUAGGGAAAAAAUAAAAGAUGGAUAUCAUAAGAGAAUCUGCCUCUCUGAUCCUCUGAACUCUGUCAAGGAUACAUGAGUUAACAUGAAAGAAGCAUUCCAACUAGUGCCUGGUAAGUACUUAUAGGCUCCAUCAGGGCUGGGAAAACAUAAAAUAAAAUAAGCAUUUCUCUUAAAGUGCAUAAAAUCAAGCUCAUGGAAAAACACUUGGCAUUUCUCAGAAUAGGCUCAGAAGUCAAGACCAUGAAAUCAAAACAGCAGAAGCUAAUGAAAAGCAUGGAGAAUGCAGGUUGUCUGUCCAAAGCCCUUCAUUCUGUCUUAGUAACUUCAAUAGUGCUAUAUCUGGUCCAUGUAGUUCCCAGCUGAACUACAAUUCCCAGCCUCCCUUGCAGCAGGUGAAGUCACGUGACUGAGCUCUGGCCAAUGGGGAGCCAGCUCCAUUUCUGAAGCUGCAUGACCCUUUAAUUACUGAGCAGAAAAAUCACCUUCUAGUACGAGAAGAACCAGGGUGAUUCUGUCUUGCUUUCAAGGAGCAAAUGCUCUAUCCAGAUCCAGUUAGUAUGAUGUACGGAUCCUUGUCCUAUGAUCUUUGCAUGCAUGAGAAGGAAAAAAAAAACACAACAAUGAAGAAACAUUUAAAUUUAAAAUUUUGAGGGAGGAGGGAUUGGGUUAUGCACAGAAUUCCAGGGAGCCCUCAGAAAGCUUCUGCACCCACCUGCCCCUUUAUUUGAUUAUCAGGCACAUAAAGAUGCUUCUUCAAAUUUUUAAUUCAAAUUCCUCCUCAAUUUUUUUCUUCUGACACAGACGUUUUCAUAAGUUAUCUAAGUCCUCUUAAGCUAUCUCAUCAACACCCCCAGAAAUCAUGAGCUUUGUCGUCUCAAGAUCAUUGCAAAAACUCAAGAGUUUUCUCUAAUUUUCGUGGAAGAAUUUUGGCUUGAAUUUCAGUAGGCAUCAGCUUCUGCACGUACAUGGAAAAUCUUUCCUUUUCAUCUGCUUUGGAAAGGGUCUCUCAUUCCUCCCACACCCCUAUGGCAAAUUCACUUUAAAGUUAAUAUUUGCUGGACACUUAUUAUAUUGGAGGGGGAUUUGAUUUACUGACAUCUUUAUGUUUUUGCCAAUAGUUUGGAAUUCAACUUGUAAGCUGCGUGGCUUGUUUGCUUUUUUUCUGACUGCAAUAAAACUUGUUCAUUUUGAGAGUUUUCAUGUAAUCUCUGUGUGCAUCUGUUAUUUUAUCCUCUUGAGU